AACUAUCUUGGAAGAAAUUUAAUUUUUUGUCAUUAUCUAGAAGACAAAAUCAGCUUUUGACACGCCAAUGUGAAUGGGAGAAAUCUCAAGAGGCUAUACCCCUAGAUGGAGAGCUACAGGACAUUAACAUCACUAGAAAGAGGGAGAAUUACUCUUCUCCAGGACCCCCAUUGUUGGGUUCUCAAUCUAAGAAAGGUAAAUUGAAGAAAUAAGUUGACAGCCAUGAAGACAAAACAUAGCGUUUGUUAAAUGAAAAAAUACACAGAAGGAAUCUUAGAAACUGACUUGGAAAGCAGCAUUUACCUCCUUAGAAAUAAGCCAAACAUAACUGACUGAGAAUCCUAUCUGCCUUCCACCGUGUGAUUCUAUGUUUUCUCCUUAAGAUUGAUCUACCU